CUGCGGCAGCGAACGUAUCACCCAAGACAACUUUGCGGAGUUGACGAUUGACGGAGCGAAGCGACGUCAAAGCGUUCAUUAAAGUCGAGUUGGCUUAGGGAUACGUUCGUUGGGUAGGGGAGCGUUCUGUAAGCCUGUGAAGGUGGCCUGUGAGGGUUGCUGGAGGUAUCAGAAGUGCGAAUGCUGACAUAAGUAACGAUAAAGCGGGUGAAAAGCCCGCUCGCCGGAAGACCAAGGGUUCCUGUCCAACGUUAAUCGGGGCAGGGUGAGUCGACCCCUAAGGCGAGGCCGAAAGGCGUAGUCGAUGGGAAACGGGUUAAUAUUCCCGUACUUGGUGUUACUGCGAAGGGGGGACGGAGAAGGCUAUGUUGGCCGGGCGACGGUUGUCCCGGUUUAAGCGUGUAGGUGUGUGUUCCAGGUAAAUCCGGUUCACUUUAACACUGAGGCGUGACGACGAGGCACUACGGUGCUGAAGCAACAAAUGCCCUGCUUCCAGGAAAAGCCUCUAAGCAUCAGGUAACAUCAAAUCGUACCCCAAACCGACACAGGUGGUCAGGUAGAGAAUACCAAGGCGCUUGAGAGAACUCGGGUGAAGGAACUAGGCAAAAUGGUGCCGUAACUUCGGGAGAAGGCACGCUGAUAUGUAGGUGAAGCGGUUUACCCGUGGAGCUGAAAUCAGUCGAAGAUACCAGCUGGCUGCAACUGUUUAUUAAAAACACAGCACUGUGCAAACACGAAAGUGGACGUAUACGGUGUGACGCCUGCCCGGUGCCGGAAGGUUAAUUGAUGGGGUCAGCGCAAGCGAAGCUCCUGAUCGAAGCCCCGGUAAACGGCGGCCGUAACUAUAACGGUCCUAAGGUAGCGAAAUUCCUUGUCGGGUAAGUUCCGACCUGCACGAAUGGCGUAAUGAUGGCCAGGCUGUCUCCACCCGAGACUCAGUGAAAUUGAACUCGCUGUGAAGAUGCAGUGUACCCGCGGCAAGACGGAAAGACCCCGUGAACCUUUACUAUAGCUUGACACUGAACAUUGAGCCUUGAUGUGUAGGAUAGGUGGGAGGCUUUGAAGCGUGGACGCCAGUCUGCGUGGAGCCGACCUUGAAAUACCACCCUUUAAUGUUUGAUGUUCUAACGUGGACCCGUAAUCCGGGUUGCGGACAGUGUCUGGUGGGUAGUUUGACUGGGGCGGUCUCCUCCUAAAGAGUAACGGAGGAGCACGAAGGUUGGCUAAUCCUGGUCGGACAUCAGGAGGUUAGUGCAAUGGCAUAAGCCAGCUUGACUGCGAGCGUGACGGCGCGAGCAGGUGCGAAAGCAGGUCAUAGUGAUCCGGUGGUUCUGAAUGGAAGGGCCAUCGCUCAACGGAUAAAAGGUACUCCGGGGAUAACAGGCUGAUACCGCCCAAGAGUUCAUAUCGACGGCGGUGUUUGGCACCUCGAUGUCGGCUCAUCACAUCCUGGGGCUGAAGUAGGUCCCAAGGGUAUGGCUGUUCGCCAUUUAAAGUGGUACGCGAGCUGGGUUUAGAACGUCGUGAGACAGUUCGGUCCCUAUCUGCCGUGGGCGCUGGAGAACUGAGGGGGGCUGCUCCUAGUACGAGAGGACCGGAGUGGACGCAUCACUGGUGUUCGGGUUGUCAUGCCAAUGGCACUGCCCGGUAGCUAAAUGCGGAAGAGAUAAGUGCUGAAAGCAUCUAAGCACGAAACUUGCCCCGA
rnacentral:rRNA from 1 species